UAUAACAGGCCAAACAUAGUCUGACUGGACUGAUUCAUCAAAGUGUGUGAGGAAAAACUGGAGGGACCAAUCACAGCUCAGCUUUCACUUUACCACAGCUCAGAGGAAACCCGAGCUGUGAUUGGUCGCUGUGGGCAAAAUCUCUCCAGUUUUUCUCUCACACAGCUUGAUAAAUCUCCCCCAUUGUGUGUUAUAGGCCAGCAGACAUUUUAUACUCUAUUCUGCUCCUUAAGUAGUUAGUAACUAAGCCAAACUGGAGAAGGAACUAGAGGGGCAGCAGAAGACCACAAUCAAGCAGAACACUCACCCCAAACAUUUGACGUAGAUCAGGGUCUCGAAAGCGAAAUGCAUAAAAAACCCAGCAGACUAAGCUCCUCUUUACAAUGAAGAAAAGGAAUAGUCAGCGUUCGCCAAAAGGACACUUUGCCUAAGGACGCCAAGAGCUUUCCAGGCACCGAUGCCAACUGUGUGCAAAGAACAAGAUGUGAACUGAGCCUUACACACAACGCCUAAAAAUAAACGUAUACAGGAAGCUAAAUGACUAAGUGCAUCCAAAAACCAUAGGCAUUAAAAAUCUAAUAUGUUUUAAUCAGCAGAAUAAAUAAAAAAACAAAU